rnacentral:rRNA from 1 species
GACAGAGGGUGCAAACGUUGUUCGGAAUUACUGGCGUAAAGCGCGUGUAGGCGGUCUCGCAAGUCGGAUGUGAAAGCCCAGGGCUCAACCCUGGAAGUGCACUCGAUACUGCGAGGCUAGAGUCCCGGAGAGGAUGGUGGAACUCUCGGUGUAGAGGUGAAAUUCGUAGAUAUCGAGAAGAACACCGGUGGCGAAGGCGGCCAUCUGGACGGUGACUGACGGCUGAGACGCGAAAGCGUGGGGAGCAAACAGGAUUAGAAACCCU